UUUUAGCGAAUUUACUAAGGAUUUAACUAGAUUAGCAAAACAUAUAAGGCAAACAAACAUAAGGAAACGGGGGAAGAGGAGGAAGUAAGGGAUUUAGGACAUUGGGCCCAAAUCAACCUGACUUGUCCUAGUCUAAUUGGAUUUUCGACCCAUUUCACCUUUGCUAAUCUAGUUUCAAGCCUUUUUGGCCCAAAAUCCGCUCCACCUAUAUUAAAUUUACAACUUUCACUUCGAGACCCAAAUGACUGAAUAAUGAAAGAAAGAAAGAAAUAAACAAUAAUAAAACGAUAAUAAUAAAUAAAUUACGAUAAUAAAUAGACAGAAAUGAGGCUCGAGUUUCGUCGUCGCUUCAAGAAUGGGACUUUAACCCAUUUCCCUUCUUUCGACUCCUUGUAUCCAUAUGCGCUUGUAUUUUUGGGUCUUCAAAUUCUACUCAAGACUGAGUGGGCCUCAAUGGCCCGUAAGGAACAUGCAAAGGGAAAAGAGUCCGUGUAGAACUCGAGCGUAUCCACAUGCAAAGGAAGAGUAGAGUAAUUAAUGAAUUUCCUAACUAAUAUCCAAACAAAAAUGCUAGAAUAUCACGCAUCUUGUUUAAUAAUAGGUAUAUAAUAUAAAAAGGGACAUGUUAACUUAGCAACAGUAAUGUCACGUGAAAGAGAAAAUAGUAUCGAUCCGGAUAAUUGGCAUGCAUGCUCAAAAAGUGAAAAGCAAAAAUUUAUCAUCAAAAUGCAAAAAAAAUCAAAACAUGUCCAGAAUACAGAUAGAAAAAAAAGUAAACUGAUUAACGCAUUCAAAAGCUACUAACUAAUUACUACCUUAUUCAAAAUCAAUUUUAAAAGUAAAAGUGCCAAAUGAUAUCUCGCAACAUCCUUCUACUAUGACCAUUUGAGGCAUCCAAGUUUCGAGAACUUCAUGCCCAAACAUAACCACAUGACCCAGUCAAGAGACUGAAUAAACACAAAAAGAAGUGGAACUAACCUAUAAAGCCAAGUUCCAUUUGACAGUAGAUAUUCAAAGAGACAGACAAUUGUGACGCUCCAUUCCCAUAAUGAAAACGACAGACAAUUUUCUCUAAAUAGACAUACUCAGAUAUACGAUUAUCGUGUUCAUCUCCCUAACCCGACCACAUAUUGGCAGCAAGUUCAAGAGAUGAAGAAGGAUAAAAAAAUACAAAUCCACGCAAGAAAGACAUAGCAAAUAAAGCUAAAAGGGAAAUGGCGGGGCACUAUUAUCAACCUCAUCCUCUUUCAAACAAACUCAAAAUGAGUUUUAAUAGCAAAAAUGGUCAUUGAGGAAUCAUGGGAACGAUCGAAGCAUGAAACUUUAACAUAAAGUAAGCUAAAACAGUACACCAUCAACUCAAAAAAAUGAUUAAAGCAUGAAACUUUAACACAAAGUCAGUUAAAACAGGGCACCAUCAACCCGAAAACAAUCGAAGCAUGAAGCUUUAACGUAAAAUAAGCUAAAACAGGUUAUCAUCAACCUGAAAACUAAUAAAACAUGAAGCUUUGAAGUAAAAUAAGCUAAAAUAGGAUAUCAUCAACCCGAAAACUAAUAAAACAUGGAAGUUUUUAACCGUGAAAUCAACCAUAACAAAAUGCUAUCAGUCCGAGAGCUAAAAAUGGAACUUUAACAUAAGGACAGCUAUACAAACCUUAAGCAGUUCACAAAAAAACAGGUAUUAAAUCGAAAAUCCACCAACAACGUUGUUCAGAUCACAUAACAUACCAUAAAUCAAAGAAAGAAACAAUUCAUAGGUAAAAAUAAUGACUUUAAAGUGUUUUAAGGAAUAGCGUGUCCUUGACAAUACUAAACAAUAGCAUCUUAUACAUUGAUUCCAAUAUCGACAUGACGUUAACUAUCAUGAACGUAACCUACGGCUCUCAAAGCCAUCUACCAGCAAACAACCCAGCAUACAAUCAUACUAAGAAAUUAUUCACGACUAUAGAAGAUCGAAGAUGAGGCAGAAACACUCGAAAACUCAAACGGAGUAGGAUAUUACCUGUUUGGGGGCAGCAAAACGGAACAAUGAGUUGAUGUCGGAAUCAGCCACCACCGGAAAUCAACGUUACUAACUUAAAACUUUCGAUUAACCACCAACUUUCAAACAGAAGAAAGAAAAAGAAAUUUUUUUACUCCCAGAGAAAUUAUCAACCCUGAGGAUUUUGUCCCCUUUUCCCUUAUUUUUGCUUUCAAAGAAAUUUUUCCCCUCUUUAUCGGGCCCAAAAUUUUUGAACCCUCUUUCCAACCCCCAGCAAAAAAUCCCCCCUAAGCAGUAUCCGAUGGGUUCCUUAUAUAGAAGAUAGGAUUGGGGCAUUUUCGGGAUAUGAAAGAAGGAAACCCUAGGAUUUGAAAUUCAAAAAUCUCCUCCAACAGCCCCAUUUCUCGUCCUCAAUCAUACCCAUUUUAGAUUUUCUCCGAGAAAUUUAUGACGGAUGGACCAAUAAAAUUUGGGCUAAACAAACUUCCUUCAAGAACCAAUGAAAAUCGUCCAACUGUGUACGAAGUCGUACGCAUUAUCCCAAGAUUCGCGGGUUUGAGCCUUUGGAGAAGACACCUUGGCGCGUUUCUAGAAGAUUCUCGAAGCUUUUCAUACGAAAUUGCGUGAGACGAGUGGAGAAGGGUCGGGUCGGAUUGGUUUCAUGGUUUUCGGGUCGAUGGGUUCGGGUUUUCGCUAUUGUUGGUUGCUGAUGUAGUUCAAUUGUUGAUCGAUGUUGUUAAUCGAUAAUAGGUCUGUUUGUACGCAGCUUUGCUGCUUUGGAGGAGAAGGAGGAAAGAUAAGGGAGAUUGGGCCGGGUCAGCAUGGUUAUUGGGCCACUAUGUUGUGAUUUGGGGUGGGGCGUGUGGAAUUUGCUAGGCUGCUGAGGAUGAUUGGUGGUGGGCUGCUUAAUUGGGUUAAAAAUUGGAUGGAUUAUGUAAUUUGAGAAUUUGGCC
rnacentral:lncRNA from 1 species